rnacentral:rRNA from 1 species
GGCGAACGCUGGCGGCGUGCUUAACACAUGCAAGUCGAACGGUGAAGCUCCAGCUUGCUGGAGUGGAUCAGUGGCGAACGGGUGAGUAACACGUGAGCAACCUGCCCCUGACUCUGGAAUAAGCGCUGGAAACGGCGUCUAAUACUGGAUACGAGAAGGGUCCGCAUGGGCACUUUCUGGAAAGUUUUUCGGUUGGGGAUGGGCUCGCGGCCUAUCAGCUUGUUGGUGAGGUAAUGGCUCACGAAGGCGACGACGGGUAGCCGGCCUGAGAGGGCGACCGGCCACACUGGGACUGAGACACGGCCCAGACUGCUACGGGAGGCAGCAGUGGGGAAUAUUGCACAAUGGGCGAAAGCCUGAUGCAGCGACGCCGCGUGAGGGAUGACGGCCUUCGGGUUGUAAACCUCUUUCAGCAGGGAAGAAGCGAAAGUGACGGUACCUGCAGAAGAAGCACCGGCUAACUACGUG